UGGAAACUGCAGGAAGGAGAUGUGAGAAUGGCUGAAGGUCAAAUGUGGCACGAGAGGAGGUGCUGCUGGAGAGCCUGGCUGGGAGCACCUUGGGAGGCAGUUUCUAUAGUGAUGGACAAACACAUGCAGCCUGGGUGCUGUUUGCCUGCACUGCCUAAAACACCACCAAAUUUUGGAGAAAUCCAUUGAAAAUUUUUUGCCAAAG